rnacentral:rRNA from 1 species
UACAGAGGGGGCAAGCGUUGUUCGGAAUUACUGGGCGUAAAGGGCGCGUAGGCGGCCUUCUAAGUCGAACGUGAAAUCCCUGGGCUCAACCCAGGAACUGCGUCCGAUACUGGAAGGCUUGAAUCCGGGAGAGGGAUGCGGAAUUCCAGGUGUAGCGGUGAAAUGCGUAGAUAUCUGGAGGAACACCGGUGGCGAAGGCGGCAUCCUGGACCGGCAUUGACGCUGAGGCGCGCAAGCCAGGGGAGCAAACGGG